rnacentral:rRNA from 1 species
AUGAUAGUGCUUCCCCCUUUCAAACAUAAAUAUGGAAACCGAUUUAGACAUUUAGUACUUUUUUCUUUCCAUAUAAUUUUACAAUUUGACGUGAAGGUCAAAUUAAAAAAACAAGACAAUGACAUCUUCUUUUCAAGUUCAAACCACGGGAUCCACAGAAACGGGGUCCUUCAACUCGAACAACCGAUAAUAUCACUCGUAUUACAGCCUAACUCAAGCCCAGUCAUAUUGAUUAUUGGUAAUAAUGAUCACCGCGGCUGGUUGGAAUAUAGGAUUGAAAAAAUGCAGCAUUUUGCAUUUUAA